rnacentral:rRNA from 1 species
GACGAACGCUGGCGGUAUGCUUAACACAUGCAAGUCGAACGAGAAGGUUUUGAAUGAUCCUUCGGGUGAAAUUAGAACUGGAAAGUGGCGAACGGGUGAGUAACGCGUGGGUAACCUGCCCUAUGGAAAGGAAUAGCCUCGGGAAACUGGGAGUAAAGCCUUAUAUUAUGGUUUUGUCGCAUGGCAAGAUCAUGAAAACUCCGGUGCCAUAGGAUGGACCCGCGUCCCAUUAGCUAGUUGGUGAGAUAACAGCCCACCAAGGCGACGAUGGGUAACCGGUCUGAGAGGGCGAACGGUCACACUGGAACUGAGACACGGUCCAGACUCCUACGGGAGGCAGCAGUGGGGAAUAUUGCGCAAUGGGGGCAACCCUGACGCAGCAAUACCGCGUGAGUGAAGAAGGUUUUCGGAUCGUAAAGCUCUGUUAUUGGGGAAG